CUUUUUGUAGAUAAUUUAAGGUCAGGCCUGCCCAAUGAGUAAAUUAAAUGGCCGCAGUAAUUUGACUGUGCAAAGGUAGCAUAAUCAUUAGUUUUUUAAUUGGAAGCUGGAAUGAAAGGUUUAAUGAAAAAAUAAUUGUCUCUAAUUUAAUUUUAGAAUUUUAUUUUUAAGUAAAAAAGCUUAAAUAGUUAUAGAAGACGAGAAGACCCUAUAGAACUUUACGGUAGAAAUAAAUUUAUUAAUUUAGUAUUAUGUCUAAGUCUAUUUUACUGUUAUAUUGGGGUGAUAAAAAAAUUAAGUAAACUUUUUUUUUAAUUUUACAUUGAUAUAUGAAUAGUUGAUCNNAAAGUUUAGAUUAAAAGAUUAAGUUACCUUAGGGAUAACAGCGUAAUUUUUUUUUAGAGCUCUAAUCGAAAGAAAAGAUUGCGACCUCGAUGUUGGAUUAAAGUAAUAGAAUGGUGUAGAAGCUUUC
rnacentral:rRNA from 1 species